rnacentral:lncRNA from 1 species
AACAGUCAUCUACAAUAGUAACAAAAAACCUUUUAAUGUCAUAUGUUGGUUCCCUAUAGGCCCCCCAUGCAUCACAACGUAAUAGUUCAAAAACAACAUUAGAAGUAGUAGUACUCAUUUUGUAAGGUAACUUUGUUUCCUUGGCUAGAGGACAUACAGUGCAGUGAGUGUCCUUCAGGUUUCUCAAUGAUGUAUACUUCUUGAUUACAUCUAAAGGUGCAAGACCUAGCCUUCU